rnacentral:rRNA from 1 species
GAUGAACGCUGGCGGCGUGCCUAAUACAUGCAAGUCGAGCGACCAGACGAGGAGCUUGUUCCUUCGCCGUUAGCGGCGGACGGGUGAGUAACACGUAGGUCACCUACCUCUAAGUCUGGGAUAACUUCGGGAAACCGGUGCCACUAAUAGCUCAUACUUCGAACCGCAUGGUUCGAUAGUGCAAGAUGGCUUUGCCAUCACUUAUAGCCGGACCGGCGCCGUAUUAGCUAGUUGGUAAGGUAACGGCUUACCAAGGCAACGAUACGUAGCUGACCUGAGAGGGUGAUCGGCCACACUGGAACUGAGACACGGUCCAGACUCCUACGGGAGGCAGCAGUGGGGAAUCUUCGACAAUGGGCGAAAGCCUGACGGAGCAACGCCGCGUGAGUGAAGAAGGUCUUCGGGUCGUAAAGCUCUGUUAUUAGGGAAGAACAAACGUAGAAGUAACUGUGCACGUCUUGACGGUACCUAAUGAGAAAGCCACGGCUAACUACGUG